UUGCUUCGGCAGCACAUAUACUAAAAUUGGAACGAUACAGAGUAGAUUUGCAUGGCCCCUUAUGAAAGCCAAGCAAUUAUAUUUCUUU
ensembl:snRNA U6 U6 spliceosomal RNA